AGAGUUUGAUUCUGGCUCAGAACGAACGCUGGCGGCGUGGAUAAGACAUGCAAGUCGAACGAGAGAAUUGCUAGCUUGCUAAUAAUUCUCUAGUGGCGCACGGGUGAGUAACACGUGAGUAACCUGCCCCCGAGAGCGGGAUAGCCCUGGGAAACUGGGAUUAAUACCGCAUAGUAUCGAAAGAUUAAAGCAGCAAUGCGCUUGGGGAUGGGCUCGCGGCCUAUUAGUUAGUUGGUGAGGUAACGGCUCACCAAGGCGAUGACGGGUAGCCGGUCUGAGAGGAUGUCCGGCCACACUGGAACUGAGACACGGUCCAGACACCUACGGGUGGCAGCAGUCGAGAAUCAUUCACAAUGGGGGAAACCCUGAUGGUGUGACGCCGCGUGGGGGAAUGAAGGUCUUCGGAUUGUAAACCCCUGUCAUGUGGGAGCAAAUUAAAAAGAUAGUACCACAAGAGGAAGAGACGGCUAACUCUGUGCCAGCAGCCGCGGUAAUACAGAGGUCUCAAGCGUUGUUCGGAAUCACUGGGCGUAAAGCGUGCGUAGGCUGUUUCGUAAGUCGUGUGUGAAAGGCGCGGGCUCAACCCGCGGACGGCACAUGAUACUGCGAGACUAGAGUAAUGGAGGGGGAACCGGAAUUCUCGGUGUAGCAGUGAAAUGCGUAGAUAUCGAGAGGAACACUCGUGGCGAAGGCGGGUUCCUGGACAUUAACUGACGCUGAGGCACGAAGGCCAGGGGAGCGAAAGGGAUUAGAUACCCCUGUAGUCCUGGCAGUAAACGGUGCACGCUUGGUGUGCGGGGAAUCGACCCCCUGCGUGCCGGAGCUAACGCGUUAAGCGUGCCGCCUGGGGAGUACGGUCGCAAGAUUAAAACUCAAAGAAAUUGACGGGGACCCGCACAAGCGGUGGAGUAUGUGGCUUAAUUCGAUGCAACGCGAAGAACCUUACCUGGGCUUGACAUGUAAUGAACAACAUGUGAAAGCAUGCGACUCUUCGGAGGCGUUACACAGGUGCUGCAUGGCCGUCGUCAGCUCGUGUCGUGAGAUGUU
rnacentral:rRNA from 1 species